GUGAUGGAGGAGGAGGGGUCAGGUGAUGGAGGAGGGGUCAGGUGGUGGAGGAGGGGUCAGGUGGAGGGGUGAGGUGAUGAAGGAGGGGUCAGGUGAUGGAGGAGGGGUCAGGUGGUGGAGGAGGGGUCAGGUGAUGGAGGAGGAGGGGUCAGGUGA